rnacentral:rRNA from 1 species
GAUGAACGCUGGCGGCGUGCCUAAUACAUGCAAGUCGAGCGAAUGGAUUAAGAGCUUGCUCUUAUGAAGUUAGCGGCGGACGGGUGAGUAACACGUGGGUAACCUGCCCAUAAGACUGGGAUAACUCCGGGAAACCGGGGCUAAUACCGGAUAACAUUUUGAACCGCAUGGUUCGAAAUUGAAAGGCGGCUUCGGCUGUCACUUAUGGAUGGACCCGCGUCGCAUUAGCUAGUUGGUGAGGUAACGGCUCACCAAGGCAACGAUGCGUAGCCGACCUGAGAGGGUGAUAGGCCACACUGGGACUGAGACACGGCCCAGACUCCUAGGGGAGGUAGCAGUAGGGAAUCUUCCGCAAUGGACGAAAGUCUGACGGAGCAACGCCGCGUGAGUGAUGAAGGCUUUCGGGUGGUAAAACUCUGUUGUUAGGGAAGAACAAGUGCUAGUUGAAUAAGCUGACACCUUGACGGUACCUAACCAGAAAGCCACGGCUAACUACGUGCCAGCAGCCGCCGUAA